AUGGUGCGGGGGGGACGGUGCAGGGGGGGACGGUGGGGGGGGACGGUGCAGGUGUGGAUGGUGCGGGGGGGACGGUGCAGGGGGGGACGGUGCAGGUGUGGAAGGUGCAGGGGGGAUGGUGCAGGUGUGGACAGUGCAGGUGGGGAUGGUGCGGGGGGGAUGGUGCGGGGGGGACGGUGCGGGGGGAGACAGUGCAGGGGGAGACGGUGCGGGGGGGACGGUACAGGGGGGGACAGUGCAGGGGGAGACGGUGCGGGGGGGACGGUACAGGUCUGGAUGGUGCAGGGGAGCGGUGCAGGGGGGGACAGUGCAGGGGGAGACGGUGCGGGGGGGACGGUGCAGGUGUGGACGGUGCAGGGGGGGACGGUGCAGGUGUGGAUGGUGCAGGUGUGGAUGGUGCAGGUGGGGAUGUUGGGGGGGAGGACGGUGCAGGUGUGGACAGUGUGGGGGGGACGGUGCAGGGGGACACAGUGCAGGUGUGGAUGGUGCGGGGGGGAUGGUGCAGGCAGAGACAGUGCAGGUGGGGACAGAGCGGGGGGAACGGUGCAGUGUGGACAGUGCAGGUGUGGACGGUGCAGGUGGGGACGGUGCGGGGAGGACGGUGCAGGGGGGAGAUGGUGCAGGGGGGAUGGUGCAGGUGUGGACAGUGCAGGUGGGGAUGGUGCGGGGGGGAUGGUGCGGGGGGGACGGUGCGGGGGGAGACAGUGCAGGGGGAGACGGUGUGGGGGGGACGGUACAGGGGGGGACAGUGCAGGGGGAGACGGUGCGGGGGGGACGGUACAGGUCUGGAUGGUGCAGGGGAGCGGUGCAGGGGGGGACAGUGCAGGGCGAGACGGCGCAGGUGGGGACGCUGGUGGGGAGGACGGUGCAGGUGUGGAUGGUGCAGGUGUGGAUGGUGCAGGUGGGGAUGUUGGGGGGGAGGACGGUGCAGGUGUGGAUGGUGCAGGUGUGGACGGUGCAGGUGUGGACAGUGUGGGGGGGACGGUGCAGGGGGGGAUGGUGCAGGUGUGGAUGGUGCGGGGGGGAUGGUGCAGGCAGAGACAGUGCAGGUGGGGACAGAGCGGGGGGAACGGUGCAGUGUGGACAGUGCAGGUGUGGACGGUGCAGGUGGGGACGGUGCGGGGAGGACGGUGCAGGGGGGAGAUGGUGCAGGGGGGAUGGUGCAGGUGUGGACGGUGCAGGGGGGGAUGGUGUGGGCAAAGACAGCGCGGGUGUCGACGGUACGAGUGUAGACAGUGCAGGUGA
rnacentral:lncRNA from 1 species